rnacentral:rRNA from 1 species
CUUGCUUCUCUUGAGAGCGGCGGACGGGUGAGUAAUGCCUAGGAAUCUGCCUGGUAGUGGGGGAUAACGUUCGGAAACGGACGCUAAUACCGCAUACGUCCUACGGGAGAAAGCAGGGGACCUUCGGGCCUUGCGCUAUCAGAUGAGCCUAGGUCGGAUUAGCUAGUUGGUGGGGUAAUGGCUCACCAAGGCGACGAUCCGUAACUGGUCUGAGAGGAUGAUCAGUCACACUGGAACUGAGACACGGUCCAGACUCCUACGGGAGGCAGCAGUGGGGAAUAUUGGACAAUGGGCGAAAGCCUGAUCCAGCCAUGCCGCGUGUGUGAAGAAGGUCUUCGGAUUGUAAAGCACUUUAAGUUGGGAGGAAGGGUUGUAGAUUAAUACUCUGCAAUUUUGACGUUACCGACAGAAUAAGCACCGGCUAACUCUGUGCCAGCAGCCGCGGUAAUACAGAGGGUGCAAGCGUUAAUCGGAAUUACUGGGCGUAAAGCGCGCGUAGGUGGUUUGUUAAGUUGGAUGUGAAAUCCCCGGGCUCAACCUGGGAACUGCAUUCAAAACUGACUGACUAGAGUAUGGUAGAGGGUGGUGGAAUUUCCUGUGUAGCGGUGAAAUGCGUAGAUAUAGGAAGGAACACCAGUGGCGAAGGCGACCACCUGGACUAAUACUGACACUGAGGUGCGAAAGCGUGGGGAGCAAACAGGAUUAGAUACCCUGGUAGUCCACGCCGUAAACGAUGUCAACUAGCCGUUGGAAGUCCUUGAGCUUUUA